GGGCGUAUAGCUCAAGCAGAGCACAAGCUUAGCAUUCAUGAGGUCCUGGGUUCAAUUCCUAGUACCUCCU
rnacentral:tRNA from 1 species